CUAUCCUAAUAAAUUGUUUAACAUGGGUCAAACGUUUUGGGUAGCCUUCCACAAGCUUCCCACAAUAAGUUGGGUGAAUUUUGGCCCAUUCCUCCUGACAGAGCUGGUGUAACGGAGUCAGGUUUGUAGGCCUCCUUGCUCGCGCACACUUUUUCAACUCUGUCCGCAAAUUUUCUAUAGGAUUGUGGUCAGGGCUUUGUGAUGGCCACUCCAAUACCUUGACUUUGUCCUUAAGCGAUUUUGCCACAACUUUGGAAGUAUGCUUGGGGUCAGUGUCCAUUUGGAAGACCCAUUUACGACCAAGCUUUAACUUCCUGACUGAUAUCUUGAGAUGUUGCCUCAAUAUAUCCACAUCAUUUUCCUGCCUCACGAUGCCAUCUAUUUUGUGAAGUGCACCAGUCCCUCCCGCGGCAAAGCACCCUCACAACAUGAUGCUGCCACCCCUGUGCUUCAUGGUUGGGAUGGUGUUCUUCGGCUUGCAAGCCUCCCCCUUUUCCUCCAAACAUAACGAUGGUCAUUAUGGCCAAACAUUUUUAUUUUUUUUCAGACCAGAGGACAUUUCUACAAAAAUUACAAUCUUUGUCUAUGUGCAGUUGCAAACCAUAGUCUGGUUUUUUUAUGGCGGAUUUGGAGCAGUGGCUUCUUCCUUGCUGAGCGGCCUUUCAGGUUAUGUCGAUAUAGGACUUGAUUUACUGUGGAUAUAGAUACUUUUGUACCUGUUCCUCCAGCAUCUUCACAAGGUCUUUUGCUGAUGUUCUGGGAUUGAUUUGCACAUUUCGCACCAAAGUACAUUUCAUCUUUAGGAGAAAGAAUGUGUUUCCUUCUGGAGCAGUAGGACGGCCGCGUGGUCCUAUGGUGUUUAUAAUUGCAUAUUAUUGUUUGUACAGAUGAAUGUGGUACCUUCAGGCAUUUGGAAAUUGCUCCCAAUGAUGACUUGUGGAGGUCUACAUUUUUUUCCCGAGGUCUUGGCUGAUUUCUUUUGAUUUUCCCAUGAUGUCAAGCAAAGAGGCACUGAGUUUGAAGGUAGGCCUUGAAAUGAAUCCACAGGUACACCCCCAAUUGCCUCAAAUGAUGUCAAUUCGCCUAUCAGAAGCUUCUAAAGUCAUGACAUCAUUUUCUACAAUUUUCCAAGCUGUUUAAAGGCACAGUCAACUUACUGUAUGUAAACUUCUGACCCACUGGAAUUGUGAAACAUGUCAUGCAUAAAGUAGAUGUCCUAACUGACUUGCCAACACUAUAGUUUGAGAACAAGACAUUUGUGGAGUGGUUGAAAAACAAGUUUUAAUGACUCCAACCUAAGUGUAUGUAAACUUCCGACUUCAACUGUAUCUAGCCAACUUCACAUACUGUAUAGAUAACUCGCUAAGUGAAUGAAAUAUCACCAUCUACCUAACUUCAUAUUGGGUGAUAUAUUGGGUCAUGGGUGCACCUCAGCCACGCUCAAGGUCCUAAACGAUAUCUUAUCCGCCAUCGAUUAGAAACAAUACUGUGCAGCCAUGUUCAUUGAUCUUGCCAAGGCUUUCGACUCUGUCAAUCACCACAUCCUCAUCGGCAGACUCGGUAGCCUUGGUUUCUCAAAUAAUUGCCUCGCCUGGUUCACCAACUACUUCUUUGAUAGAGUUUGUCAAAUCGGAGGACCUGUUGUCUGGGCCUCUGGCAGUCUCCAUGGGGGUGCCACAGGGUUCAAUUCUUGGACCAACUCUCUUCUCUGUAUACAUCAAUGAUGUCGCUCUUGCUGCUGGUGAGUCUCUGAUCCACCUCUACGCAGACGACACCAUUCUGUAUACUUCUGGCCCUUCUUUGGACACUGUGUUAACAACCCUCCAGACAAGCUUCAAUGCCAUUACAACUCUCCUUCCGUGGCCUCCAAUUGCUUUUAAAUACAAGUAAAACUAAAUGCAUGCUCUUCAACCGAUUGCUGCCUGCACCUGCCCGCCCGUCCAACAUCACUACUCUGGAUGGUUAUGACUUAGAAUAUGUGGACAACUACAAAUACCUAGGUGUCUGGUUAGACUGUAAACUCUCCUUCCAGACUCACAUCAAACAUCUCCAAUCCAAAGUUAAAUCUAGAAUUGGCUUCCUAUUUCGCAACAAAGCAUCCUUCACUCAUGCUGCCAAACAUACCAUCCUACCGAUCCUCGACUUCGGUGAUGUCAUUUACAAAAUAGCCUCCAAUACCCUACUCAAUAAAUUGGAUGCAGUCUAUCACAGUGCCAUCCGUUUUGUCACCAAAGCCCCAUAUACUACCCACCACUGCGACCUGUACGCUCUCGUUGGCUGGCCCUCGCUUCAUACUCAUCGCCAAACCCACUGGCUCCAGGUCAUCUACAAGACCCUGCUAGGUAAAGUCCCCCCUUAUCUCAGCUCGCUGGUCACCAUGGCAGCACCCACCUGUAGCACCAGCAGGUAUAUCUCUCUGGUCACCCCCAAAACCAAUUCUUCCUUUGGCCGCCUCUCCUUCCAGUUCUCUGCUGCCAAUUACUGGAACGAACUAGAAAAAUCUCUGAAACUGGAAACACUUAUCUCCCUCACUAGCUUUAAGCACCAGCUGUCAGAGGAGCUCACAGAUUACUGCACUUGUACAUAGCCCAUUUAUAAUUUAGCCAAAACAACUACCUCUUCCCCUACUGUAUUUAUUUAUUUUUGGUCCCUUGCACCCCAUUAUUUCUAUCUCUACAUUGCACAUUUUUCCACUGCAAUUCCAGUGUUUUACUUGCUAUAUUGUAUUUACUUCGCCACCACUGCCUUUUUUUGCCUUUAGCUCCCUUAUCUCACCUCAGUUGCUCACAUUGUAUACAGACUUAUUUUUCUACUGUAUUAUUGACUAUGUUUGUUUGUUUGAGUAGGCUAUUCCUAAAAAUGAAGAUGGAGAUAAUAGUAACAUAAUAUUCAGUGGGGUGUAAUUUGACUAUAAUUUAGUCUGUUUCUUGUGAGGUUUUCUGUCCUCAGAUAAAGAGGGCUAUGGAAUCCUGUCUACAUAUGAAGAGGUCCCAAUGAAGAGCAGUGGUUCUUAGUCCUGGUCCUGGGGACUCAAAGGGAUACGUUGUAACUGGAGAUUCCUUAAACAAUUGCCUCCAGUUAACGUGUAGGGCACUGCAAGGUUGGGUGACCAGGGCCACAUGGGACUGCCUCCUGGAGGAAUUCAGGUGUGUGAAGGCUACCUAUGUCCUGCAUAACUAAAUGAGGAUGGACACGAGGACCAGGAGGAAAUCUGCAGCUCACCGCCAUGUGCCAGAGGAGAAGUCCGCUGCUCUGCAGGAUGUUUCAAGGAUGGGGCCCAUCAACGCAGCAAGAGAGGCAAUCUGUAGGUGGGAGGCAGCAAUGCUGAAGAGGCUGCUGCAUGGCAUGAACGUCCCUCCAGAGCCCCCCAGGAAGAGGCUGAAGUAGAGGAGAGACUCCUGGGAUAUCUGUCUGACCUGAGCCUCUCACUGCCUACUGAUUCA